UCUAGAACUCAAGAUAUAAGUUGAAAAUCAAACAGUGUCUGAGCUGCAGGACAGGUUCUGACUUCUCCGUUGUUGCUAAGAUUUGAACUUGAAAAUGGUAGAAUUGAGUCUUGGACUCUCAUGAAAGUUUUAGGUCUAUGUCUUAUUUUUCCAUC
rfam:Populus trichocarpa scaffold_5_contig_144, whole genome shotgun sequence.